AGACCAUUUUAGGCUAAGGAGCAGAGGGAGCAGUUAAAGGCUGGGCAGGGUGACCAAGAGUCUGGAAGGAACGGCCAGAGAGGUCAUAAAUGCUCAUGGGACACGGCCACCUCCCCAGCAGACUGGGAGCUUCCUGAAAGAAGGGGGCUGCCUUGAGGGCGUGGUGGGUCCUGGAGCUGCACCAGCAGGAGCUCAAGAAAUGGGACCUCCCUGACCAGGUCAGGAGGGAGCCGCCUCCCCUGAAGCUGGCUCCUGUGUGUCCUGACUGCUCAGCCUGACCUGUGGAUUCAGUGGAUUUUGAAGAUGGUACAAGCUGGUUCCGUGCACUGUGCUGGGGGCAGCCUGAGCCCCCCCCCGCCCCCCCCCCCCCCCCCCCCCCCCCCCCCGAUCCUCUGAUCCUCUAAGCUCCUGACUGACCUGUGAUGCUUUCAGAUCCUCAGAGACCCAUCUGCACUGUUUAGGCUGGAGCUGCUGGCCUUCACAAACGUGUUCCUCUCCCUACAGUGAGGACCGGACGGGACCUAAUUGUGACAAGGAGACUGGGCUGCAGAACCAGGGCAGAUGGAGGGAGCAGAGAGGUUUGCAGGCUGAUCCAGCAAGGAGGGGAAGUUGCCUGGGGAGGUUUGGAGUCCAGAUGGGAGAGAAAGAGGUGGUCGGUCACAGGCUGGCCACUCCUGGGCAGGCACGGGACAUUGACAGAGAGAAGCUCUACAUCAGGGUCCUGUGGGUUACUGGUAUCUGUGGUGACCUGACCUGCAGAUGCCUCAGCACAGGAAGGGAAGACUUGGACUGCUCAGAGGCCGAGCUAAGCCAAAGCUGCUCUCCCAUACACCUCCCUGAGGAGUCGGGGACCAGCUGAUCUGCUAUCCCUUGGGGAGGGCAACUGCAGGAAUAGGGCCUGGCCAGGCCUGUCCUGUUUGGUGUUGAAGAUUGGGGGGAGGUUCCCAGCAGCUGCCCCAGGGAAGCUGCAAUGGGUGGGACCUCUGCAACAGGCACCAGGUGGCACUGGCACCAGGGUAGCCACCCCAUUUCCCACUUCCCUGGGAAAUGGACCUGGCAGGCAUGCUGGUACACAAGGCCUGCUGCACUGGGGCUCAGAGGGUCCCAGAUGAAGGUUGACUUUGGACUUGAAUUUUUCCUGCAGCAGGAAAGUAAGCAAGCCAGACCAGUCCUGCUGGCCAAGGCCAGCCCUGGCCCCUUCAAGGAAGCCUGAACUGUCUUGAGGGAUCUCUGAGCUUUGGGGAACUUUGCGGGAAGUUGAUGAGGGUUGGGAGUUGCCCCAGGCUGGGCGUAGGGUGGGACCUGUCCCUCCUUCAUAACCCUUUGCUCUGGUCCUUAUGCCUGCUGAGCCCUGUCUUCCCAGCAGCUGGGCUGGGAAUCCUGGGGCAGAGGGACCUCCUCCUAUCCUGUGUCCACAGGCUCGUGUCUAAACAGGCAUUGGGCCAAGCCCCAGGUUUCUGCAGGAAAGACCGAGAGGAUCCCUCCAAUCCAAUUACUCAAAUGUGCCUGCAUCCGCCGGUGGCGCCGAGAUCGGGCCGGCCCAUUUCUGCCUGGAUGCCAGCCGCACAGGGGUUGGCAUAGCAACAUGAGCUCUGAUCUGCUGAAACUGGGAGUCAAUUCGUCACUGGGAGGACAGAAAGAAAGACUGAAGAGGACGCCUUUAAAAGUGAUGCGGGUCAGACAAAUCCAGGCUAAUCCCUGAAAUCCACAAAAAUGGGUCUGGCAUUAACACGUGUGCCAUAGCAGCGACUCCCAGUGACAUGGUGUGCCAGAUUUGGGUGUGUGAGACACGCUCCUUCCACUGGCAUUCUACUCCACAAGAGGGAGUUCUGGACAGGAUCAGACCGCCAGCCCCCUGAUGGCUUACUGCGCAGCUGUGUUUUCAAACUUUUAAACCAAGCAGCAGAAACUUUUCUUAAACAAUCUCACCCAGCACCUCUUUAUAUAAACAAUAAUCAGCCUACGAGGGGGAGGCCUGGAGAGGCAACUCCCACCCCUCCAGAAACCCCUAUCUUACCUGAGGAGGAGCCACUGGGACCCUUUUGAUCUUCGUCUGAAGAGGGGGCGCCACUGCAGUCAGGACCUGAAACGAGAUGAGCGGUUCACAGAGGUGUCCGGAACUCAACCGACAGCCAUCCAGCAGCCCAGAACAGGCUUUCACCCUCUUUGAAAAUAAGAUCACAUCAAGUCAAGGAUUCAAAAUGGGAAAAAUUCAAUCAGAGCCUCCCUCGGGCCAGCUACACAUCUCAAUACACUCGUCGGCCAGCAGAAUCGGCUCCCGCUACAACCCAGCUCAGCAUCAUCGUUCAAAACGCACCGGAGCCUCUAGCCCGCAGGCCUCUAGACCGCAGACCAGCACCUGGGGUGACCUCUGAUGGACGUGCAGCUCUAAGUGAGACCAUGUCCUUGGAUGCUUGGUCCAGGUUCCUGAAUACCUCUACCUCUCCUGAGAUACACCCCAGUCAGCAGAACCAUUUCUGGAGCUGGACGGACCUGCUCCCUAGUCCAGGAAGGAGUGGUCUCUUCUGGCAGGGGCAUCUCUCCAAGCCUCAGUUUCUACUUUCUUUCUACAGUUUCUCCUUUCCUUCUGACUUUAAAGUUCCAGAAAUGAUGUGUGCAAAGGGCCUGAUGCCUUAGGAGGUUGAUUUAUUUAUUCACAUGGUAAUGCUGGGGCCAAGUAUCUUUGAUGAGGUUCAAGCCCAGAGAUGUUUGGAAACGUUUGCAAAGUCACACAGCCCUCUGGCUGAGUGUCAGGGUCAGCCUGGGACUAGGCUGGGUUGGUGGAAUCCCCCUGGGGUGAGGGUGAGAAGCAGCUGCUGGCCUUGGGGAAAGGUCUUGAAUGAACUUUGGUGAAGGAGUUACCCGUAAACCUCCAGCACCAUGGCAAGAGGAGAGGCAUGGCUGGACAGGCAUACUCACAUGGCCUGUCUGCGCACUUGGUGGAGACCUCAUUGGCAGGGUGCAGAAGUACCCCAGAGUCACUUCUAGGAAUGGCCUGUGAGAGGAGCUGCUCCCCACCAAAUCCGUAUAUUACAGCCCUAACCCCCAAGGUAGCUGUAUUUGAGAGGAGGCCUCUAAGGAAGUGAUUAAGGUUAAAUGAAGUCAUAAGGGUGAGACCAUGAUCCAAUCAGAUUAGUGUCUUAUAAAAAAGACAUCUAAGAGAUCUCAAGGCCUCACCCAUGCAUUGGGGAAAGGCCAUGUGAAGACUGCAAAGCCAGAAGGAGAAAUCUCAUCAGAAACCCAAUCAGCCAGAACCUUGAUCUUGGGUUUCUGGCCUCCAGAAUUGUAAGAAAAUACAUUUCUGUUGUUUAAGCCCCCUAGUCUGAUAUUUUGUUACGGCAGCCCCAGCAGACUAACACAAGGAUGGGAUUGAGCAUGGGGAGCAUGGCAGAGGACCAGGAAUGAAUGCAGAGGCUUCCAGUUCAUCCAACUGUAUGGGUGCUGAAGUUGCUCACUGGCCAUGGGUGGGGUGGUGAAGGCAGGGUUGUGGUGUUGAGGGACAUGUGCAUGGAUGUGUCCAGGUGGCAAUGGGAUAUUCUGACCCAGAACUCAGCAGACAGGUCUGGGCUGGAGCAAGACUGGGGAAUUAUUAGAGUGUAGGUUAAAUCUUAGGAGUGGCUGAAUUUUGUCAGAUCACCUAUUCUUUCUUUUUCAACUGGUCCAUUCUAAUUCCAAUGAGUGUUGGAUCAGCUUUUGUCUUUCAUAUUUUUAUAAAAAGUCAACCAUCCCUUCUUUUUUGUUGUAUAAUUGUGCACAAAUUCUCCCCAAUUUUUAAAUGAGUUUGUUUUCUUCUACUUACCCAGAGCAAGUCUUACUUAGGAGCAUAACUCACAUGUGAUUAAGGUACUCAUGCGUGGUUCGAAUUGCACAUUUCUUCCUGACAUUCAUCUUAUCCUCACUAUUUAUGAUAUCAGUUCUUUCAUCAUUCUUAUCCAAUUGCAAAACAACAUAUCUCCCUUCAGCCUGCCAGAUCAUUUAUCACACCACAUUAUAACUAGCAAAUGCUGAUUUCUUUCUCUCAGAGUUACCCUUGAAAGGCACGCUGUGUGCAUUCUUUAUUUCUAGGCUGAGCUGUUUCUCAUCUCUGGAAACUUUUCUUGUAUUGUUUCUUUUCUGAGGUUUCCUCACGGUAUACCUCAUCCCGUUUAUCUUUCUCUCAACUUCUGUAGGGCUGUGACACCAUUUCCCACUCCCAGGUGGGUUAUGUGUACCUCUGAUUGUUGUCUUUUAUCUGUAUUUCUGGUUUGAUGUCUUGCUUUGUCCUCAACAUCACUGCUUUCUCUCCUCUAUUGUUUCAGUUAUCCCAACUACUGCUUCCAGACAUGUUUCAAUUCUUUUACGGUUUCCACCAUGGAAUUACAGCCUUUCUCCCCCCCCCCCCCCCCGGUUAUGAUCUGUUCUUGUUAGUAAUGUUUUUUGUCAUUUUUUUCCCAGUAAGUUCAUCUUAUUUGUUCCUGGGUCCUUUCAGAUUCCAUCAUUUAAAAAACAAAUUUGUGGACAUUUAUUGAGGGCCUACUGUGUGCAGACAUUGCUAUUCUGCAUUUAGCACUUGCAGGGGCCUGCUGAGCUUCUAGGUGCAGCAGAAUUCUGCAGUUAGAGCUGCUUUGAGGGAGGUUCUGGUUAACAACCAUUUAUUCCAUCUUGUUCCAAAGAAGAUUUAAGAUGACUUAAACUUUGUUCUAUGUACAAUAUAAUGAGACUUUUUUUUUUCUAGCAGUGAGGGAAUUAGAGUUAAAGAAAAAUAAAGGUAGAAAAGGCAAGCAGCAGCCAAGCAGAGAUACAAAGAUAGCAUGCAGGAAGUGAGAGUGUCUAUUCUGAUGGUGGCCUCGGUGGGCACAGAAGGGACAUAUCUUAUGACUGUGGCUUCUCCUUUUGAUUUCUGAUGGUGGUGCUGAAACGGUCCUUUGUUUUAAGUUCUUCCUUGAAAGGCUGCAGCACAGAGGAGGCCCCCCAUGUUAUGACUCACUCUGUAAGCCCCCUAGGUGGGAAACACUUACUUAAAAUUUUUUUCCCAAUAGGGAAGGAAUUGAAAAGAAACAGGCAAGAUACACGUGACAGUGUGGGCCGGCUGCAUGUAAACAGUGGGCCAGCUGCCUCCCGCUCAUCUUUCAAAAGUUGGUAUUGACUGAGCAACUGAUCCUCUGUGUAUUUCCUGUACCCUGAAUCUGAUAGUUUCCCUGUUUUGGGGUGGCAAGUAUAGUCUGGGAGUGGAAGGCUUCUUGGGGUCUCUCUGUUCCCACAGAACUCCAGAGUGGCCUCAUUUCACACCUCUCAGGAAACAGUUUUCCGAGUGACAGAUUGAUUGGUGUAUGGGUGGUUACCAAAAAAGAAUCUAUUUUAUUAGCUGUUUGUCUUGCAAAGUAAGAUCACUUUUUAAAACUUUAUCAAAAUGUCAUCGUCUUGGGGUUUCAGAACGUGCCCUCUGACUUGGAGGGAAGAUCUGCAGAUCCCACAGGUGAAGAGCUGUCAGGUCAGGGUCUUACAUGCACUCUCGGGUGGUGAGCCCUGGUGUGCCGCCCAGCCUGAGCUCUCUCGGGUGGCACGGAGGGCGCAAGGGGCAGCUGGGCACCAAAGUGCUGUUGCCAAAUCUCAUCCUGAUGCCUGAAAUGGCUUUUUUUUUUUUAAAUAUACCAAGGGAAAAUAAAAAUCUAGGCAUUCAUACACAUGAGAGACCAUGUACAGAUAACUUUGCUUUUCAUUUUGAAAAGGAAAUAGAAAAC